CUCUAAAUCUCACCUGAAAUCGAUCCGCUGCGCCAGAAAAUGGCCUUCGGCGUCAGCGAAGCCCAAAACACAAUGAACCACCACCACUAAACUUGUCUCAUCUCCCUCUUCCAAUUUCUAACCCUUGAUUAUCCCACAACUCAACCUAAACCCUUUUUUAUACCCUAAUUAGAUAGAACCCUAGAAAUUUUAAACAAAAAUUAAAUGGCAAAGAUUCAUGAAUUCAGAGAAAGACCUUGGGGCUAUGCUUUGGUAAUACAAGCUUUACAAGGUGAUAACAACAAUUUGUAAGAAAGAUGAAGAAUCUUACUUACUCACAGAGCUGAGGAUUUCCCUGGUCAAAGUAGGAGUUGAAGAAGAAGAUGAAUAAAACCAGAGAUUCUUGAUUCCCAUCGGUUAUGCAGGCCAAAUGGUGUAUGAACUGAGAUAUGCUUGGUCAAUCUUGUGUUGGGUAUACAUCUUGUUCAUUUUAAUGCAACCUGAUGUGCAAGCUUUGGACAUGUAAUGAAGUUUGGUAAUGGCAUAAGGUUGAACAUAGAGUAUGCAUCAUGGGUAUGAAGUACACUUGGUUACACAUGAAGCAAUGAUCAUGAAUAUUGGUGACAUUUAGGAUCAUGAUGGACAUGAAGUUGAAGAAGAAUAGAUCUAAGGUAGAUUUAGGAUUAGGUCAAACUCAGGCCAAGGCUUGGUCAACUAUUUGAUCAAAAGUUAAUAGUUGACCAAAAGUCAAUUGUAUAAAAAAAAGUGUAAUUUCUUUGUAAUUUUGCAAUAGCCUUGUAACUUGUAUUUGAACUUUUGCACUUUGACUUGUAAAUGACUUGUAACUUAUCAUUUA